UCUGUUGUUGCUGUGGGUGUGGUGUAAGCCAGCAGCUGCAGCUCUGAUUUGACCCCUAGCCUGGGAACUUCCAUAUGCCACAGGUAUGGCCCUAAAAAGAAAAAAAAAAUAGUAAUGAGAGGAAAGUUUUUCCUGAAUUCCUGUGCGUUAGAUCAUGUAAUAAUGAGAAAAAAUUUUGCCUGUCUUCUUCAGGCUAAGCUCAGAGGAUCUACUCCAACUUUCUGAGGAAUAAGUUAAAUGUACAUAGAUCAAUAGCAGGAUCAUAUGUUGAUUAUGAUAAGAAGGCUGUGCUUCCUCCUGCGCUGUACUUUUGCAGAGCAUAAGGAUAAAAACUCUUCCUCUCAGUCUUAGUAACUUAGUUAUUUUAUAUAAAGUGUUUCAAUUUCAACGAAGAAUGUUAUUUCCUAGCAUGAGAUAUAAGCAUGUAUGAAUUUAAAAUCAGUCAUCUUUAUAUCUGUUUCUUCAAGGAUAUAUUGAACAUAGAAUUUGCUAAAAACACCAGUGAGCCCAUAAAAUAUUCAAUGGCAUCCACAUAAAAGGUAAUGGCAGACAAACAUCUUCUGAAACACUUAUAUCAGAAAUAGGGUCAGCCAGUAUCUGAGGAGGUGACAGGCUGAUCUGAAAGACUUAAUUGUAUGGGUAGCUCAAGAAGCCCCAGGCAGAGGGUAUGAGCCUGAGACUCUUCUUGCACAGGAGCAAAGGGCAAAAGUUCCUGGUAGCAGAUGUUGUUUCACCACAUGCAUAACUUUGGGGAUUAGCAUUCUCAAUGAUUCCCAUUUUGGCUCAGCAGAAACUUCUCCUCCCCACCACUGUCCAUUUGCCCAUUCGUUCAACAAUUUUUAAAGGUAGAAACUAUGCUAGGGACAGGGAAAGCUCAAAGACUGAGGCAGGACUGCUCUCUGUAACAAACUGCAGGCAUCUUGGAGGGUUCUGACCCAAUAUAUCUGUACUUUGGGAUUAUAACUCUGUAUUAGAAAUGAAGGUUACUGUCAUCUAUUUUUUUAAAUAAUCUCUCUGCCUAUUGUGAUUUGUGGAUAUGACAAAUUUCUCCAUGUUCUUAUGACUCUUUCCUCUUCCUUUUCUACCAUGAUAGAAGGAAAUAAGACAUAAUAUUGAAAGAGCUAAAUAUGUUUCUUCUCCCUACACUUCCCCUGCUCUGCCAAAGACAUGGCAGAAGUCAAAUUCCUUUUCACUUAUUAAACCAUACAGCGUAUAAGAACAGUUAUCAUGGAGGCACUUUCUUUUGCACCUAUUGAAAACCCUCAAUUCAUGAACAGCGAACAUAUCACUGGAGACAGUGUCUGGAGUGAUAUUAGUAUAGCUAAAAAUAGGGAUAAAAAUCACUUAAGAAUCCUUUUUAAAAAUGGCCAACAAUAGCAUCCUAUAUAUAGGAUAGGAUAGAUACAUAUGCAGUAGUAAUUAUGCUGUUUCCUGUUAACUGUAUCUCUUAUUGCUAACUAUAUGCAUAACAUAAUUAUUUUACCUUUAAAUUAUAUUACCUACUGAUAUAUUGAGAACAAACUGAUCCUCUAAGAUUUGGUAAUUUGGCCCAUUUUAAUACUAUGUUGAAAUAAUGAAUUCAGAUUGAAAGAAGGAAAUUACACCAACCUACAUCCUAUUUAGAUUCAUAUAAGAGUUUUGAUGCCCACACGGAUGCUAGAAGGGACCAGAAGUUCUCAUUUCCAGGCUUCUUCUGCUCCCAAAUCCCCCACUGCAGCAGGGUGCAUGUUCACUGCCCCUUGAGGACAGCUGAGGGUCUAACUGAAGUCACAUCCCUAGCAUGUGAUUUGGGAAGUGGCGGACAAUAAAGUCUUUAUAGAUGAUCAUGUCCUAUGGGCAUGAAUGGGAGACUCAUGUGUUCAAUAGUUUCCAAAUAUUGCUGAUUGAGCACUGUGGGGGCUUUAAAAAUACAGGUUUCUAGGCCCCUCACUGGCCCAUUAUAAAAGAAUGAGAUUUUACUGCUUAGUUUCUGCUUCAGUAAUGCUAUGUAACCAACACUGCUAAAACGCUCAGGGGCUUACACUUCUCUCUUGCUCACAGGUGUACAAAUUGGUUGUAGCUCAACUGGGCUGGGAUUGGGUUCAUGUCUGAUCCAUGCAUUCUCAUUCCAGAACAUAUACAAAGGGACAGUAGCCACCUGGAGCCUUCUUGUGGCGAAUGGCAGGACCAUAAGAGGGAUGAAAACAGGUGAUGGGCCUCAGAGCCCCUGUUUUGAACUGACUCACUUUUGCAAAUGCCCACAUUCCAUCAGUCAAAAAGCAAGUCAGAUGACCAAGUCCAAGAGUAUGACACCAUCUGGCAGGUGUUCUUCCUGCCAAAAGGAGCAGACAAAAAGGCUCACCUUUCCUUCUCAGAAUGAGGGCUCACAGAGAAGGGAGCCCUGACAAACAGAGAAAAAAAGCCCUCGAUGGAGGCGUAGGGGACUGAUGAGAGAUGAACGGGAAGAAACCCUGUCCGAAGCAACUUUGUCUGAAUAGAAGAGAUGGUAACUUGGUGCUGAAAAUAGACUUUGAGCUGCACACAAGCCGAGAUUGAGAGUAACCGGCACAUAAUUAGAAUAAGAGUUUUGAUGCAAAGGUAAGAUUACUUCACUGGAGAUCAUCCCUGCACAACGUAUAGAGAAGCAGGCUUGGCAGAACCCAUCAAUGCUAGAAGAGAAAUACAGAUGUGAGCAAAGGGAGAGUGAGUUACUGCAGUCACCUCUUGCCAAGAGUGUCCCUAAUCUUGAGCAGGGAGGAGGUGGGAAAUUCAAGUUGGCAGCUGCACUGAGUAACAUUUUUAGCUUGUAGUAUAUGGUGAUGUUUGGGUGAGCGACAUGAACUAUAUGCCCUUCUGAUCCGAUACUGUGGGUUAAGUCAUUAUCCACUCAUCUUUCUGUUAGUUUCAUAAAAUCGAUUUAAAGAAUCACUAACUUAUUUUCAUGUAUAAAAAAUCAGGUUGAAGCCUACUGGUGACUUAUUCAACAUACCCUUGCCAAGAAUGGAACACCAGGAGAGGGUAACUGUGUCUUAGUUUGGGCUUUUAUGGAAAUAGACCCUUAGAUAAAAAUUCAAAGGCAAGCAGUAUGGGAGAUGAUCCCUGGAACCCGUGGAAAAGGAGUGUGGAUGUGAAACCAGAAGGGGUAGGGCCGAUAAGAGGUGGAUUAUGAAACAAAUCCCCCCUCACAGGCCACCAAAGCUGGGGACAUCUGGAAAUGAUGCAGAAUAAUCACUCUGACUCAUUUUCUCUGAGGGUCCAGGCAGCUGAAGCAUUUAUCUACCAACUGCUAGCAGGUGAGGCCGUAGCCUUACUGCAGGCACAUGUGGGAUCGAGGAGGUACAAAGGGAACUAGACUAUCUGGCCUGGAAUGUCACUGCCAGGAAUGUCAAGACUGCCUCAGACUGUCACAGUGACUUUAUAAAUGACUACUCCUUUUCUCUAUCAAUUCCAUUUUCUUAUUUUCCCACUCAAAAAUAUAAAGGGAAAUUAUAUGAUUGUACUACCUUUAAUUUUUUUUUUUAAAAAAACCUCUAGAUUUCUUUGAGUAUAAAUGCAUGGGAAUGAGCAGCAGCAUGUUCAUUGUGAAUUGACAGCUCGUGUCACUGAUUUUAAAAAUAAAAUGAAUGUCUAUUUAUGCACAUUGGUAUAAUUUGGGGGACUGUAUAUGCAUAUUAUAAUACCAUGGAUAAAUUAAGAAGUCAUCAUUUAUAUGUUACUAAAAAAGUUUACUCCACAUUAGCCUGAGUGAAUGUAAUUUGUAUCAGGUUUUAUGUUUCU